rnacentral:rRNA from 1 species
UAACCUGGUUGAUCCUGCCAGUAGUCAUAUGCUUGUCUCAAAGACUAAGCCAUGCACGUCUAAGUACAAACUAAAUGAUGGUGAAACUGCAAAUGGCUCAUUACAACGGUUAUGAUGUACCCGGGAGUUCCGAUGGAUAUUUCCAGUAACACUAGAACUAAUACAUGUCCCUGCGUUUAUAGUUUCACACAGUCCGUCGCUGAGUCAUGGUAAACAGUGAUCGACUCGACGUCCCGGAACAGUUUCCGCCCCAUCAGCUUCGAUGGUUGGGUAUUGGCCUACCAUUGCAACAACGGGUAACGAGGAAUUAGGGUUUGAUUUCGGAGAGGGAGCCUGAGAAACGGCUACCACAUCUACGGAUGGCAGCAGGCGCGCAAAUUACCCAAUGCAGACACUGUGAGGUAGUGACGAGAAAUAAUAAAGCGGGACUUCUGUUUCGCUAUUAUAAUGAGGAAUAACCAAAGGUCAUUCCGAUUAGCAACUGAUGGGAAAGUCUGGUGCCAGCAGCCGCGGUAAUACCAGCGUCAGUAGCAUAUAUUAAAAUUGUUGCAGUUAAAACGUCCGUAGUCUGUACGUCGUCACCAACUCACUGCAGUCUUCCGUCUUCUUGAUUGAAUGCGGUAGUGCCUGCAGUCACUCCCUUGAUCAAAUUAAGUUGUUCAAGGUAGACCAAGUCUUCAUAAUUUCACAUGGAAUUGGGUGAGGGAACUUAAGAGUUUAAGUUUCUCGUCUUAGGAUCAUCCAGGGUCAUUCGUACUCGUCCGCGAGAGGUGAAAUUCUUGGACCGGACGAAGACGACCAGCAGCGAAAGCAUCUGUCAGGGAUGUUUUCUGCGACAAAGGACGAAGGUCAGGGUAUCGAAGACGAUUAGAUACCGUCGUAGUCCUGACUGUAAACUAUGCCAACUUGGGUCUUGCUGGUUAAUGCUUUGUGAGACCCACACAGAAAUGAAAGUGUAUGGGUUCUGGGGGUAGUAUGGACACAAGUCUGAAACUUGAAGGAAUUGACGGAAGAGCACCAUAAGACGUGGAGCUUGCGGCUUAAUUUGACUCAACGCGGGAAAACUUACCAGGUCAAGACAUGGGCGUGAUUGACAGGCUAAUGACUUUUCUCGAUUCCAUGGAUGGUGGUGCAUGGUCGCACUUAGUUGGUGCAGUGAUUUGUCAGGUUUAUUCCGGUAACGAACGAGACCUCAGCCU